UGCAAGUCGAGCGGAACGAUCCUAGCUUGCUAGGAGGCGUCGAGCGGCGGACGGGUGAGUAAUGCAUAGGAAUCUACCCAGUCGUGGGGGAUAACCUGAGGAAACUCAGGCUAAUACCGCAUACGUCCUACGGGAGAAAGCGGGGGCUCUUCGGACCUCGCGCGAUUGGAUGAGCCUAUGUCGGAUUAGCUUGUUGGUAAGGUAACGGCUUACCAAGGCGACGAUCCGUAGCUGGUCUGAGAGGAUGAUCAGCCACACCGGGACUGAGACACGGCCCGGACUCCUACGGGAGGCAGCAGUGGGGAAUAUUGGACAAUGGGCGAAAGCCUGAUCCAGCCAUGCCGCGUGUGUGAAGAAGGCUUUCGGGUUGUAAAGCACUUUCAGCGAGGAAGAAAGCGUGCCGGCCAAUACCCGGUACGGACGACAUCACUCGCAGAAGAAGCACCGGCUAACUCCGUGCCAGCAGCCGCGGUAAUACGGAGGGUGCAAGCGUUAAUCGGAAUUACUGGGCGUAAAGCGCGCGUAGGCGGCGUGUCACGCCGGGUGUGAAAGCCCCGGGCUCAACCUGGGAACGGCAUCCGGAACGGGCAGGCUAGAGUGCAGGAGAGGAAGGUAGAAUUCCCGGUGUAGCGGUGAAAUGCGUAGAGAUCGGGAGGAAUACCAGUGGCGAAGGCGGCCUUCUGGACUGACACUGACGCUGAGGUGCGAAAGCGUGGGUAGCAAACAGGAUUAGAUACCCUGGUAGUCCACGCCGUAAACGAUGUCGACUAGCCGUUGGGGUCCCUUGAGGACUUAGUGGGCGCAGUUAACGCGAUAAGUCGACCGCCUGGGGGAGUACGGCCGCAAGGUUAAAACUCAAAUGAAUUGACGGGGGCCCGCACAAGCGGUGGAGCAUGUGGUUUAAUUCGAUGCAACGCGAAGAACCUUACCUACCCUUGACAUCCUGCGAACCCGGAAGAGAUUCCGGGGUGCCUUCGGGAGCGCAGAGACAGGUGCUGCAUGGCUGUCGUCAGCUCGUGUUGUGAAAUGUUGGGUUAAGUCCCGUAACGAGCGCAACCCUUGUCCCUAUUUGCCAGCGAUUCGGUCGGGAACUCUAGGGAGACUGCCGGUGACAAACCGGAGGAAGGUGGGGACGACGUCAAGUCAUCAUGGCCCUUACGGGUAGGGCUACACACGUGCUACAAUGGCCGGUACAAAGGGUUGCGAAAGCGCGAGCUGAAGCUAAUCCCGAAAAGCCGGUCUCAGUCCGGAUCGGAGUCUGCAACUCGACUCCGCGAAGUCGGAAUCGCUAGUAAUCGUGCAUCAGAAUGGCACGGUGAAUACGUUCCCGGGCCUUGUACACACCGCCCGUCACACCAUGGAAGUGGACUGCACCAGAAGUGGUUAGCUUAACCCUCGGGAGAGCG
rnacentral:rRNA from 1 species